rnacentral:rRNA from 1 species
AGUGAACGCUGGCGGUAGGCCUAACACAUGCAAGUCGAACGGCAGCACAGUAAGAGCUUGCUCUUACGGGUGGCGAGUGGCGGACGGGUGAGGAAUACAUCGGAAUCUACUUUUUCGUGGGGGAUAACGUAGGGAAACUUACGCUAAUACCGCAUACGACCUACGGGUGAAAGCAGUGGAUCUUCGGACCUUGCGCGGUUGAAUGAGCCGAUGUCGGAUUAGCUAGUUGGCGGGGUAAAGGCCCACCAAGGCGACGAUCCGUAGCUGGUCUGAGAGGAUGAUCAGCCACACUGGAACUGAGACACGGUCCAGACUCCUACGGGAGGCAGCAGUGGGGAAUAUUGGACAGUGGGCGCAAGCCUGAUCCAGCCAUACCGCGUGGGUGAAGAAGGCCUUCGGGUUGUAAAGCCCUUUUGUUGGGAAAGAAAAGCAGCAGGUUAAUCCCCCGCUGUUCUGACGGUACCCAAAGAAUAAGCACCGGCUAACUUCGUG